rnacentral:rRNA from 1 species
GAGGAAAGAGGGAGGCGUGCCCAAUACAUGCAAGUCGAGCGAACGGACGAGAAGCUUGCUUCUCUGAUGUUAGCGGCGGACGGGUGAGUAACACGUGGAUAACCUACCUAUAAGACUGGGAUAACUUCGGGAAACCGUAGCUAAUACCGGAUAAUAUUUUGAACCGCAUGGUUCAAAAGUGAAAGACGGUCUUGCUGUCACUUAUAGAUGGAUCCGCGCUGCAUUAGCUAGUUGGUAAGGUAACGGCUUACCAAGGCAACGAUGCAUAGCCGACCUGAGAGGGUGAUCGGCCACACUGGAACUGAGACACGGUCCAGACUCCUACGGGAGGCAGCAGUAGGGAAUCUUCCGCAAUGGGCGAAAGCCUGACGGAGCAACGCCGCGUGAGUGAUGAAGGUCUUCGGAUCGUAAAACUCUGUUAUUAGGGAAGAACAUAUGUGUAAGUAACUGUGCACAUCUUGACGGUACCUAAUCAGAAAGCCACGGCUAACUACGUG